UACGUAGGGACCAAGCGUUGUUCGGAUUUACUGGGCGUAAAGGGCGCGUAGGCGGCGCGGUAAGUCACUUGUGAAAUCUCUGAGCUUAACUCAGAACGGCCAAGUGAUACUGCAGUGCUAGAGUGUGGAAGGGGCAAUCGGAAUUCUUGGUGUAGCGGUGAAAUGCGUAGAUACCAAGAGGAACACCUGAGGUGAAGACGGGUUGCUGGGCCAACACUGACGCUGAUGCGCGAAAGCCAGGGGAGCAAACGGG
rnacentral:rRNA from 1 species